UACGUGGGGGGCGAGCGUUGUCCGGAAUUACUGGGCGUAAAGAGCGCGUAGGCGGUCUGUUAAGUCGGUUGUGAAAUCUCCAGGGCUCAACCCGGAAACUGCAUCCGAUACUGGCAGACUCGAGAAGUGAAGGGGCAAGUGGAAUUCCUGGUGUAGCGGUGAAAUGCAUUGAUAUCAGGAGGAACACCCGUAGCGAAGGCGGCUUGCUGGGCACUUUCUGACGCUGAGGCGCGAAAGCGUGGGGAGCAAACGGG
rnacentral:rRNA from 1 species